GUCAUGUUCUUUGUGAUGACCAUCGAAACCAAACACACAAUUUGAUUAA
rnacentral:sRNA from 1 species